CCUACGGGGAGGCAGCAGUGGGGAAUAUUGGACAAUGGGCGAAAGCCUGAUCCAGCCAUGCCGCGUGUGUGAAGAAGGCCUUCGGGUUGUAAAGCACUUUCAGUGGGGAAGAAAGCCUUGGGGCUAAUACCCUCGAGGAAGGACAUCACCCACAGAAGAAGCACCGGCUAACUCCGUGCCAGCAGCCGCGGUAAUACGGAGGGUGCGAGCGUUAAUCGGAAUUACUGGGCGUAAAGCGCGCGUAGGCGGUCUGAUAAGCCGGUUGUGAAAGCCCCGGGCUCAACCUGGGAACGGCAUCCGGAACUGUCAGGCUAGAGUGCAGGAGAGGAAGGUAGAAUUCCCGGUGUAGCGGUGAAAUGCGUAGAGAUCGGGAGGAAUACCAGUGGCGAAGGCGGCCUUCUGGACUGACACUGACGCUGAGGUGCGAAAGCGUGGGUAGCAAACAGGAUUAGAUACCCCUGUAGUC
rnacentral:rRNA from 1 species